GACGAACGCUGGCGGCGUGCUUAACACAUGCAAGUCGAACGGAAAGGCCUCUUUCGGGGGGUACUCGAGUGGCGAACGGGUGAGUAACACGUGAGUAACCUGCCCUUGACUUUGGGAUAACUUCAGGAAGCUGGGGCUAAUACCGGAUAGGAGCUCCUGCUGCAUGGUGGGGGUUGGAAAGUUUCGGCGGUUGGGGAUGGACUCGCGGCUUAUCAGCUUGUUGGUGGGGUAGUGGCUUACCAAGGCUUUGACGGGUAGCCGGCCUGAGAGGGUGACCGGCCACAUUGGGACUGAGAUACGGCCCAGACUCCUACGGGAGGCAGCAGUGGGGAAGAUUGCACAAGGGGUGGAAGCCUGAUGCAGCAACGCCGUGUGCGGGAGGACGGCCUUCGGGUUGGAAACCGCUUUCGCUCAUGACGAGGCUUUGUGUGACGGUAGUGGGUAAAGAAGCACCGGCUAACUACGUG
rnacentral:rRNA from 1 species